CACGUGCGUCCACAAGUUCCACGUUCCAGUCCUUGUCAGCUGAUAUCCAAUUUCACUAUAUGCGCUGUCAAUUGUCAACGCAACCUUUUCUAUAGUGGAUGUUCUUUACUGCGAAACUAAUGUUGGAUACGUCUACAUCUGGCCUGCUACUUUGGACACAAAGAUGUUGUGGAGGAGUUACUUAAGGAAGUAGUUAUUUUGCUGUUACGAUACCUGUGCCACUAUCAUCAACGGGACAGCCCAGGUCCCUAUAUCUGUCUACGAGGAUAAUGCGACCAUCGCCAUGCACGAGGCUGCAGAGAUUAGAGAGGAGGAAGGAAGAGAAGCUUCUGGAGGUGGACAGAGUGGGAGACAUCAGCCUGUCUCAGCUGGUCAGCAUCUGAUCAUCCCUGGCCCUCCACUGAACCUCUCAACCUCAAGCUCUGCAAGAUGCAGCCUCCAGGCAUCCACUGUAGAGACCUGCCUACAGGGGGCAGAAGCAGUGUGUCAGAAAGAUGCUGAAGUUUGGAGCCAGCCCCAGCAUCAAGAAUGAGCAACCAAACCGUUUUUGACCUGGCCUGCAGUGAGGAGAUUAAGCAGAUUCUGGUGGGCAGUCAUGACAAGGUGAGAUGCGAGAGGAACAUUGGAGCAAAAAGCUGCUGAUUCUGUGAUUCUACUGAAACAAAAAGAAAAAAUUCUUCCCCUAGAGGAUAUGACUUGUGUUAUG